rnacentral:rRNA from 1 species
AUGGCUGGAUUCGCUGAUGCACUGAGGCCGGAUAAGUUUACCGGUGUGCACUUUAAGAGGUGGCAGGUGAAGACCACGCUCUGGCUUACUGCUUUGAAAGUUUUCCACGAUAGUGUUGGUGCUCCAGAGGGAAUGACCGACGAAGAUCGGAGAAAAUUCCAGGAAGCCAAUACUAUGUUUGUGGGAUGCAUUCUGAGUGUUCUUGCUGACCGUCUGUGUGAUGUGUACAUGCACAUAAACGACGGAAAGAUUCUGUGGGAUGCACUGAAUGCAAAAUUCGGUGCAACAGAUGCAGGCAGUGAACUGUACAUCAUGGAGAGUUUUCAUGACUAUAAAAUGGUGAAUAACCGUUCUGUGGUUGAACAAGCUCAUGAGAUACAGUGCAUUGUGAAGGAACUUGAACUCCUUAAGUACCCACAGAACAAGAACAAAGGGAAGAACAAACCUGUUUUGAACAAGCCUACCAAGACUACUACCUUCAAGAAGAAGAAGUUCAACAAGGCUGAGCUAGAGUGCUACGCCUGUGGGAAGCCUGGACACUUUUCCAAGGAAUGCCUUGAACGUGCAGACCGCAGAGGGAAAACAAGCUCCAAGACUGUCAACAUGGUGACCGCUAGCAAUACUGAUGGGUAUGGUCGCAAGGGAUUCUUCCGUCCUAAUGGGGAAUGGGUCACAUGCUUCUGUUCGUGGCAUUGGCACGGUGGAUCUGAAGUUUACUUCGGGAAAGAUCGUGCAACUAAGGAACGUGCAGCAUGUCCCUACUAUGAACAAGAAUCUAGUUCAAAGUGCCAUAGUUGUGUGCAAUCUAAGCAACCUCGAAAGCCUCAUAAGGCUGCCGAGGAGAGAAACUUGGCACCUCUAGAACUCAUACAUUCUGAUCUUUGUGAGAUGAAUGGUGUGUUGACAAAAGGUGGAAAGAGAUAUUUCAUGACUUUGAUUGAUGAUGCGACUAGAUUUUGCUAUGUUUAUUUGUUGCAAACUAAAGAUGAAGCAUUAGACUACUUUAAAAUCUAUAAAGCUGAAGUUGAGAAUCAACUAGAGAGAAAGAUCAAGCGUCUUAGGUCCGAUCGUGGUGGAGAGUAUUUUCCAAAAGUUUUUGAUGAAUUUUGUGAGGAACAUGGUAUUAUUCAUGAGAGGACGCCUCCCUAUUCACCUCAAUCAAAUGGAGUGGCCGAGAGGAAAAACCGCACAUUGACUGACUUGGUGAAUGCCAUGUUAGACACUGCUGGUUUAUCUAAGGCAUGGUGGGGGAGGCUCUAUUGA